rnacentral:tRNA from 1 species
UAGUUUGUAGUAUAAUUAAUACAUUAUUUUUGUAAAAUAAGAAUACUAUCUAGUCAAACUAA